rnacentral:rRNA from 1 species
GCUCAGCGCCCGACCUCCAACCCUUUGUUGUUAAAACUACCUUGUUGCUUUGGCGGGACCGCUCGGUUCCGAGCCGCUGGGGAUUCGUCCCAGGCGAGUGCCCGCCAGAGUUAAACCAAACUCUUGUUAUUAAACCGGUCGUCUGAGUUAAAAUUUUGAAUAAAUCAAAACUUUCAACAACGGAUCUCUUGGUUCUCGCAUCGAUGAAGAACGCAGCGAAAUGCGAUAAGUAAUGUGAAUUGCAGAAUUCAGUGAAUCAUCGAAUCUUUGAACGCACAUUGCGCCCCUUGGUAUUCCGAGGGGCAUGCCUGUUCGAGCGUCAUUACACCACUCAAGCUAUGCUUGGUAUUGGGCGUCGUCCUUAGUUGGGCGCGCCUUAAAGACCUCGGCGAGGCCUCCCCGGCUUUAGGCGUAGUAGAAUUUAUUCGAACGUCUGUCAAAGGAGAGGAACUCUGCCGACUGAAACCUUUAUUUUUACAGGUUGACCUCGGAUCAGGUAGGGAUACCCGCUGAACUUAAGCAUAUCAAUAAGCGGAGGAAAAGAAACCAACAGGGAUUGCCUCAGUAACGGCGAGUGAAGCGGCAACAGCUCAAAUUUGAAAGCUAGCCUUCGGGUUCGCAUUGUAAUUUGUAGAGGAUGCUUUGGGUAAAACGCCAGUCUAAGUUCCUUGGAACAGGACGUCAUAGAGGGUGAGAAUCCCGUAUGUGACUGGAAAUGUUAACCUAUGUAAAGCUCCUUCGACGAGUCGAGUUGUUUGGGAAUGCAGCUCUAAAUGGGAGGUAAAUUUCUUCUAAAGCUAAAUAUUGGCGAGAGACCGAUAGCGCACAAGUAGAGUGAUCGAAAGAUGAAAAGCACUUUGGAAAGAGAGUUAAAAAGCACGUGAAAUUGUUGAAAGGGAAGCGCUUGCAAUCAGACUUGUUUAAACUGUUCGGCCGGUCUUCUGACCGGUUUACUCAGUUUGGACAGGCCAGCAUCAGUUUCGGCGGCCGGAUAAAGGCUCUGGGAAUGUGGCCUCCACUUCGGUGGAGGUGUUAUAGCCCAGUGUGUAAUAC